UACGGAGGGUGCGAGCGUUAUCCGGAUUUACUGGGUUUAAAGGGUGCGUAGGUGGGUCGGUAAGUCAGCGGUGAAAUCUUCGAGCUUAACUCGGAAACUGCCAUUGAUACUAUCGAUCUUGAAUCAUCUGGAGGUAAGCGGAAUAUGUCAUGUAGCGGUGAAAUGCUUAGAUAUGACAUAGAACACCAAUUGCGAAGGCAGCUUACUACGGAUGUAUUGACACUGAGGCACGAAAGCGUGGGGAUCAAACAGG
rnacentral:rRNA from 1 species